UUCUAUUUUCCUUCUUUCUCUCUUCCACUCAUUUAACUCUUCCAUUUCUUCAAACUUCUCUUUUCUCUGUCAAAUCUACAUUCUUCCUCUUCUCUCUUCAUCUGACUUUUCCAUUUUUUAAUUCUUCCCUCAUGGUUCUUCUAUGGUGGCUUCAAACAUAACACACUAAACCAAAUCUACUGCAAAGCUUUUAUUUUGAAACCCUAACCGAUGUCACAAAUGGAAGUGAUGCACACGCCUGUUUACUUCGAGAAAUUUGGUGUGCAUGGUGAUAUGAAAGUUGUUUCCAUGGAGGUUCUUGAAUCGAUCCGUAAGAAUAAGGUUUCAAUGGUUGUGUAUGUUUCCAACAGUUAUACGAAGAAGAUGGAGAUAUUUUUGUGGGUUAUGGCUUCAUUUCAAGCAAGGAAGUAGAAAAGGCAAAUAUGAUUUUUUUUGAUGUGGUUGUGGAGGAAAUCUUCUUCUUUCCGAUGAGACUGAGACGAUAGCUAAGAGUUGAGAGAUAUCUUCUACACCAUUUGCAAAAGGUAAUACUUAACAUUAAGGUGGAAAGGUGGUUUGACUAUACCAGUUCCCUCCCUGUGCUGCUAAGUGGUCUAAUAAUAUCCAAUUGCAAUUAUAUUUGUUUAAACUAAGGCUUUUAUCAUAACUCUGUACUCUUUUAAAUUCUUAAGUUAUGGUUUUCUGUUUCCAUCAGGGUUCAGGGUGAUCUGCUUGCUAUAUAGACUAUGGUGAGAUUGUGAUUAUUUGUAAGUUGAAAUUCCAUUUUAAUGUAAUUUUGUUUUGAAUAACAUUGGAAGUUUUUUCGAUUUCUGUGGUUGUUGCAAUUGCAACAGGUCGUGAUUGUGAACUUCAGUUGCUUGGAGCAAAGGGGUAUCAAUCAGAAUCGGGGAGACGGCGGCGGCUAAGUGGUAUCAAUCAUAAAUGUAAUGUAAUUCUGUUUUUCUUAAUCAUAUAGUGAAAACUAAUUUAAAACUCUCCAUAGGUUGCAGUUUUCAAUGUAUAUGAUAUAGUUUUCAUUCUCAUGGAUUCCAGGGCAAACAUGGAGUAUAAAAAUUCACAAGGUAAUUAAUACUUUACCUUCCUAAAAUUCAGCUGAUUACAGUUUCAGCCCGACAUAAACCAUUUGUCGUGUUAGAUUUUUCAUAUCACUCACCAUGUGUCUUCAGCAGUGGUUUUUCAAGUAUGCAACAGUUGUUAUUCCCAGUUUAGCCCUUGAGUAAGGUGUCUAUUUUGAGUGUUAGUCAAAGGGAGGCCAUAUAUGUCAUUCCUUUUAUUGCCUAUAUAAAGGUCUUAGUAGUGUUGUAAUUGGUUGAGUUUGUUUUGAUUGAGAAAUCUUAUAGAAGUCUUUAUUAUUGUCUAUAGAGGUUUUUAGUGGAUUUGUGUUUUAUGUUGUUCACGCACUCCAGAAAAGUUUAAGAGUUGUAAUUUUCCAAUGUACUGGAUUGAGCAUUCUUUAUGCCUAUGUUUUAAUGCAUUUUAUUUUUUAAUGUUAAAAUAAAAUUCAUCUAAGAACAUAAUUAAUAUGUAUUUUUAGAUUGAAU